UCUAUUAGUUUUAUUGACGUGUCUUUCAAUUGCUUGAGCACACCGGAUAUCCCUACAGGUGGAUUAGCUUUCUUUGUACUUCCAAAGGAUUUCUCCCUGUUUCUGGUCUUGCUAUCAAGGCUGUUUGUGUUCUAGCUCCAGCCUCCAGGUUUGAUUUUCGAUAAAAGAAGAAGAGAAGGAUUUAAUUUCAUUUUACUCUUAAGAACACACACUCUGCAGUAGAAAUAAAGAUCUUGAAGAUGGAUAGGCCAUGUUAGAUGAUCUGUCUGGGAUGGCAUUCGUGUCACGGCUGCAUUCCUGAUAUACUAUUGAUGGUUAGGGAACUCAUCCCUUUCUCUUUUGGUGGACAAAUGAUGGUUAGGGAACUCUUCCCGUUCUCUCUUGGUGGACAAUGGAUGGUUAAUAAGGAGCUUCUUCGCUUACUCAUUGUAUACUUUCCAUUGACAUAAUGAGAUAUUACUGCAUAUUCAAAAUUAUAGUCUUAAUUAAAUCACUGGAUAUACUUAUAUGUCGUUGCACGUGUGUGCACUGACAUGCCUUAUCUUUGUACAUCUCUCAACAAAUGCAUUCUGACUUUUGAUUAAUCAUCUGCUUAUAUAAAGGCAAAGAUUUACCACUUUUGCUUAUUUGGAGGGGGUAAAUGGAGAAGUAUGGUAUCAAAAUUUCUAGAUAACUUUAAUCACCAUACUUUUAUGAUUAGUUGUUUAUAUGUUAGGAUUGACAUCAAGACCGGUGUACUGAAAUACUAACUUGCAUAUCGUUGCGAAGAGAUGUUUGGGUCGACCUAAUCUUAAAGUGAUUUUGGUCUGUUAUUUUCCGUAGUUAAUGCUUUUUCCUUCUGUAAAAUCUUAAAUAUAAAGGUUGUAAGCCUAUAAGAUUGAGUUGUCAGAAAACUAAUGAAUUGUGUAACAAUUAUUAGACGCUGAAAGUUAUGCCAUAAGCAUAUAGCUUGUGGAGCCACAAGAUAUAACAUCAAUCAGUGAAGGUUUUUUUUUUUUUUUUUGGACAAUGGCUUAGUGAAAUCUAUUUGUAGGCCAGCCUAGCUUUACAUUUUAUAAUGAAGUAUUUAGAGCUGGAGUUUUGCCUUCUUUUACUAGCUCUGACCUUAUAGAGCGAGGAAAGAGGUCGGAAAUGUCUUUUGCAGAGGGGUCUAAUUAGUAAGCUUCAGAAAUUUCCUUGAGCUUGGCUAAUAUGAAAGGAAAUAACUUAUCUUCUCUUAUGUUGAUUGUAAAUUAGUGUGUGUACUAAUAUAUAUGAUCUUUUCACAUGUUUUGUUCUUGCUCUUGGACUAAGAAAUCUUAACAGGAUAAUGGCACUAGCUUGAGAUAUGACAAUUAGUUCGAUGCAAGAAGAAUGGCCAUUAGGUUAGUCUAUUUCGUGCUUUUCUCAUAUCAUUGUUUUAUAUAUAGUUUAUACUAAUUUUUAAAAGCAUGGAAGAGACAACAUAUAGCAGAUUGCUUUAGUUGAAAUAGUCAAGGUUCUUCAAUGGUUUUAGUUAUGUUGGUUGAUAGUUGGGAAAAACACCAACAAUGAGAUUCAUUUUCAGCCUUCCCUGUGUAAUUUAUUCACAUAAAUAGAGAGAACAAAAGAAAAGUGGAUACUCACGUGUUGUAUAAUAAUUACCCGCCUGUAUUCCCAUAUCUUUCGUAACUACCAGUUCUCCUCUGCUCCUGUCUUUCUUUUAUCAGGUAGUGUUGAACUACAGCUCUGCAUUUGAGCAGAUCUUCAUUUGCUUGUGAAAGGUUCAAAUUCAAACUUUGCAAAAUGUACUCUUGAAUUUAGGCCUAUCUGAAAGGGGAUAAUUGCUCUUCUUCCAUCUCUGGUGUUCAACACAACUUAGUUUUAUUGAUGCAUAAUGUCUCCUGCACGUUCUAUUACUUUCAUUCCUACAGGAGCACAAAAUUGAGGCUUAAUUCCUAACUUUGUUCUCCAUUCAUGUUAACAUAUUUUCUUUCAACUAUAGAUGCAAUUAUGAUGAUGAUGGCUGAGUUCCCUUUUA